rnacentral:lncRNA from 1 species
ACUUACUAGAUCAAGCAAUCUCCUCCUAAGCUAUUGGGGUUGUUUUUGGUUAUGAACUCGGGCAAUGUGUUGGUGCUUGGCUGAGAUGAGGUCUUCAGUCAACUAGGCAUGUUCUAGCAACUCCGCAUACGAGUUGGGUCCCAGCAUCAUGGCUAAGUCAUAGAUAUAGCACGAAGGCUUUUUAGAAACUCUUAACUUUUUGGCUUUCAGGAGUGACCAUUAGAG